GAGUUCUUAGCUCAAUUGGUAGAGCAAAUGACUUUUAAUCUUUUGGUUAGGGGUUCAAGCCCCCUAGAACUCU